GGGGGUAUAGCUCAGUGGUAGAGUAUUUGACUCCAGAUUAAGUGUGCUUUGGUUUAAAUCCGAGUGCCCCCU